GGAAUUUUCCGCAAUGGGCGAAAGUCUGACGGAGCGACGCUGCGUGAAGGAUGACGGCCUGCGGGUUGUAAACUUCUUUUCUCGAAGAAGAAGCUCUGACGGUAUUCGAGGAAUAAGCAUCGGCUAACUCCGUGCCAGCAGCCGCGGUAAUACGGAGGAUGCAAGUGUUAUUCGGAAUGAUUGGGCGUAAAGCGUCUGUAGGCUGUAUAGAAAGUCUUUUGUUAAAUGCCUCGGCUCAACCGAGAUCCAGCAAAGGAAACUUCUAUACUUGAGGGAGGUAGAGGUACAGGGAAUUCCCGGUGGAGCGGUGAAAUGCGUAGAUAUCGGGAGGAACACCAAUAUGGCGAAGGCACUCUACUGGGCCAUAACUGACACUCAGAGACGACAGCUAGGGGAGCAAAUGGGAUUAGAUACCCCUCCCUCA
rnacentral:rRNA from 1 species